rnacentral:lncRNA from 1 species
CCUCCUCUCUAGUAGCUACGUGAUGUAAAGAUAUGUUCGAAAUUAAUUAAUUUAUUACAUUGCUUUUAAAGAGUUGUUUUUACACAUAUUUUGAAAAAUAAUAUCGACUCUCUACACGAUAAUUGCCUUGAAUCUCCUUAGUUACUUAGCUACGCUCUUCUUCUUCGCCCUCGUGAUUUGGAUUUAACUUUGUUCAUCUUCUCUUCCUUAAAUUUUCUUUAACCUCUCUUCAUCAUUUAGCCAUCCAUUAGCAGAGUGUCUUUAAUUUAAAUUUACCUAUACAAAAAAAAGAGAGUAAGUAAUUAGAAGAGAGUGAAAGGAUUAUAACAUUAACAACAUAAAUUUUAGGUUAAAAGAGAGAGAGAGAGAGAUCAGAUGGGUUAAUUAGGUUAGAGGGGUGACAGAGAGAUAGAGAGCACACAAAGCUUCGAGCAUUGAUAUCAUUUAUUGAAAGUUAAUAAUGAAUGAACACAACAUUAUAUUUUGCAUAUGCAAGAAAACAACUAUGUGUGCUCCCUCUCUUCUGUCACCCCCUAAUUCUUUCUUUUUUUCUUUUCUCGUGUUAGAAAUAGACCGUGAGAAAGACCGCAUGCAUCCGUUUUUUAUAACGUCCACAUAAAUGAAAAUUUACUAUGAGGUCAAUUUUCUUAAUAAAAAAAAUUGAAUUAUUAUUUUCUUUAUCACGUACGAAAUACGGACCGGCGUAUAGGAUUAGUUGUAGUUUAGAUCAUGAUAAUUUUGAUAGAUAUCAUGAAAAAAAAACUUAUUCUUUAUUAAAAAAGAAUUAAAAGUUUAAGAGAAAAAAUGGUUAGGCAUUAAAAAAAAUGAACCAAAGGAAAAAAAAAAGUUUUAAUUACGUGGAUUUCGAGUUUUUUCUUUAUAUAAAAAGAAAAUAAACAAAAAUCAAAAUACGAAAUAUAAAAGGACCUCACUCAGGAAUUAAAAUAUAUAGAUAAUUUUAAAAAAUAAAAAGAAGUAAAUUCAACCAAAAUUUUAAAAAUCGAACAUCGAAAAUAAAUUAUUAUCAAACAAAACAAAAAUGGCAGACUCUAAGUAACAUAAUAAUCGUUUCUCGUUCCUCUGGUCGCACACAUUUUUUUUUCUCUUUUUUCACUUAAUGAUUGCAUUUUGUUUCUCUUGAAUCUGAGUUUGUGUUUGUUUUAAG